rnacentral:ncRNA from 1 species
ACAAGUGGAAAGAUUUGUCUGCUUGCAACCACACUAAAAAAUGCUAAAAUAAUUA